UACGAAGGGGGCUAGCGUUGCUCGGAAUUACUGGGCGUAAAGCGCACGUAGGCGGCUUUCUAAGUCGGAGGUGAAAUCCUGGAGCUCAACUCCAGAACUGCCUUCGAUACUGGAGCUUGAGUCCGGGAGAGGUGAGUGGAACUGCGAGUGUAGAGGUGAAAUUCGUAGAUAUUCGCAAGAACACCAGUGGCGAAGGCGGCUCACUGGCCCGGUACUGACGCUGAGGUGCGAAAGCGUGGGGAGCAAACAGGGAUUAAGAAA
rnacentral:rRNA from 1 species